CUAUUCUUCUCUCUAUACGUUGGUGUUCUAACCAAUAAUCACCGAUACGAUAUUCUGUCCGAUCGAUUCCGGAACCAACUAACCAAUGCCAAAGUGCUGUCUAAAUAAGACUAUACUUUGUGAAUUUCAUUAAGGUUCUGAUCUCGUGACCAUCGUUAUGUUUGAUUGGGUUUAACACUGAUACGUAUUCCACUCUAUUAAACUAAAUGUUUAACUAUCAGAAAACUCCAAACUAUACACUUACAAUCAAACAAGAUGUUUAAUCAUCAGAAGAUUCAGAACUAUAAAGUAGAUGCUUAGUUAUCAGAAGGCAUAGAAUCAGUAGGCUUGUUUAAUCAAGACUAUAUGCUAACAAGGUGAUUACAGUAGAUCAGACUAAGAGUUGUGAUACGGCACCGAAGGCUUAAAGAAGUGGCUUAUUUUAUCAAUAAACUAAAUCAAGAAAUGUUGUUCGGAUUUAUCCCAUACUAAUGCCACCUUUGUAAAACAUGGGUUUAUUCCCCUCUGUUUAAUAAAUAAAAUCUGGUGUUUCGAAA